rnacentral:rRNA from 1 species
UAUUGGACAAUGGGGGCAACCCUGAUCCAGCCAUGCCGCGUGUGUGAAGAAGGCCCUCGGGUUGUAAAGCACUUUCAGCGAGGAAGAACGCCUAUCGGUUAAUACCCGGUAGGAAAGACAUCACUCGCAGAAGAAGCACCGGCUAACUCCGUGCCAGCAGCCGCGGUAAUACGGAGGGUGCAAGCGUUAAUCGGAAUUACUGGGCGUAAAGCGCGCGUAGGUGGCUUGAUAAGCCGGUUGUGAAAGCCCCGGGCUCAACCUGGGAACGGCAUCCGGAACUGUCAGGCUAGAGUGCAGGAGAGGAAGGUAGAAUUCCCGGUGUAGCGGUGAAAUGCGUAGAGAUCGGGAGGAAUACCAGUGGCGAAGGCGGCCUUCUGGACUGACACUGACACUGAGGUGCGAAAGCGUGGGUAGCAAACA